GGCUGGUUUGAGUGUAGUGGUGUUUACAACUAAUUGAUCACAACUAGUUACAGAUUCCGUUGUUCCUUCUCCACUCCCACUGCUUCACUUGACUAGCCUUUA
ensembl:misc_RNA Y_RNA Y RNA